UACGUAGGGGGCAAGCGUUGUCCGGAAUCAUUGGGCGUAAAGAGCGCGUAGGCGGCCCUGUAAGUCCGCUGUGAAAGUCAAGGGCUCAACCCUUGAAUGCCGGUGGAUACUGCAGGGCUAGAGUCCGGAAGAGGCGAGUGGAAUUCCUGGUGUAGCGGUGAAAUGCGCAGAUAUCAGGAGGAACACCGGUGGCGAAGGCGGGUCUCUGGGCCACUACUGACGCUGAGAAGCGAAAGCAUGGGGAGCGAACAGG
rnacentral:rRNA from 1 species